rnacentral:piRNA from 1 species
UGUAAGGUUUCCCCAAACAAAAGAUGUGA